ACAGGAGGGUUGAGACUGGAGAAAAGGCGGCCAGGCGGGGCUAGCCACCAAAACUGAAGGGGUCUUUGCCUGGGACUUGGGAGCAGCCAAGCCGAGCCGGCUUUCCUGUGUGGGUGAGAGAGCAGGAGCAAGACCGAUUCUCAGUCACCAGCCAUCUGCAUCUCCAGCUAACAGUCGCUGACAAUCGCUAUGUGACAAUCAAGGGCUGGGCAGCAGGAACGAAGGCAAGCUCGUGUGGUGACAUCUGGCCGAUGAUUGGAGCCACCAGGGUCAGACUUCUGGAAAACAGUGCUUUCCUGCUGCUCAGAAGGCAGCGAUGACUGGAGCGUGAGUGGCUGUCUUGAACCACAAGGCAAAAGCCGCACACUGAGCAGGAUGCAGCCAGCUGGUCCGUCCACAGAGUGGCCUGUGGUGACUGUGGAAUCACCAUGCCUGUCCCGGGCUGCCGUCACCUGGAUUUCAUCGAUGUGAAGGAGAAAUAAAUGGAACUUGUGCUAUUAUUUACGUUUUGUGUCUUUUGCAGCCUAAUGGAAUCUUAGGCUAUUUAACAACAUGCAAAGGUGUGCAAUGCCAACUCACUCAUAACUACCUAAGAAUGAAAAUAGCUGUUUCUGUGCUGCUGGACAUCUUCUCCCAAGUCUUUCAGCGCCCCAUGAGCGAAGUCAUUAUCCAAAGACAGACAGGAGAGUACAGACUCCGGGCCGCAACAGCCAGGCUGCCUAGCACUUGGCCACAUUCUUCGCUUACAACCCUGCCCUCCUCCCUCAAAGCAGUAAACCUCGGUCCUGUACGCCCCGGACUUCCUCCCACUGGGGAGCACUACUUUCUGUCUGCUCUUUUCUACAUGCCCAGUAACCUGCCUUUUGUUAAUAUGAUGCAAAUCAGGUACACUAAAAUCAAAAAUAAUUCAGCUCUCUGGUUGGCAUCAGAUUUGAGCCCCGCUUCUGGACUUACAUAAUAGACGUCUUAACUGAGCAGAGACUUAUUUACCCAAAACCUGUUUUUGUUCCUUAGGUGUGCGUGGUUUAGCUUCUUAAUGCUUUUCCUGCACACAGGAUGCUUCCUUAUCUGACUAUUUGUAUGUUCUAAAGGAUACUUUGACUUAUCACUAAUGGCAGGGACCAAAGAAAUAACCAAGUUUGGGACUAACGCCAGAGUUCAGCUGGUGCGGAGGCCAGCAGGACAAAUCCUACCGCCUUCCUGCAAAAGACAUCCAGAGGAAAAACUGGUUUUAGCAGGGUCAUGGCAAAAACAGUUGCAGAGUUGCUAAAUUUGAGGUUCUAACCACCAACCUUGUGUGGAAGCCUGGCCGUGUGCCUGGCGGUGUUCUACGUGCUUAAAUAAGUCGCUUCAUGGGCCAGCCAGAUAGCU